AUUGAACGCUAACGGCGUGCUUAACACAUGCAAGUCGAACGGCAGCACAGCAGUAGCAAUACUGUGGGUGGCGAGUGGCGGACGGGUGAGUAAUGCAUAGGAAUCUGCCUUGUAAUGGGGGAUAACCCGGGGAAACUCGGGCUAAUACCGCAUAAUCUUUACGAAGCAACGUGGGGAACCGUAAGGCCUCACGGUAUAAGAUGAGCCUAUGUUGGAUUAGCUAGUUGGUGGGGUAAAGGCCUACAAAGGCGACGAUCCAUAGCUGGUCUGAGAGGAUGAUCAGCCAUACUGGGACUGAGACACGGCCCAGACUCCUACGGGAGGCAGCAGUGGGGAAUAUUGGACAAUGGGGGAAACCCUGAUCCAGCAACGCCGUGUGUGGGAAGAAGGCCUUAGGGUUGUAAAGCACUUUCAGUAGGGAAGAAAAGCUUAAGGGUAAUUUCCUUGAGUAUUGACGUUGCCUACAGAAGAAGUACUGGCUAACUCUGUGCCAGCAGCCGCCGUAA
rnacentral:rRNA from 1 species